CAGACAGACACAGACAGACACACACAGACACACACACACACACACACACAGACACACACACACACACACACACAGACACACACACACACACACACACAGACACACAGACAUGAAAACGAAAGUGUUCAGUGAGUCAGUCUCCAUUUUAACUGAGCAGAACAGGAAGACAAACAGGAAACUGCCGCAGGUUGAAGAGCUGCAGGUUGUCAGAGAUCAGCUGUUCUUCUCUGGCCUCAGCUCUGAAGUCCACAACCUCCCACCUGAGACGACUGGAGCUGAGAGACAACACGCUGCAGGAUUCAGGAGUGAAGGAGCUGCGUGGUUUUGUGGAGAGUCCACACUGUCGACUGGAGACUCUGAGGUCAGACACCUUGUUUACAUUUUCUUAUUCAUUGUUGGAGCCAGGACUUUGGAACCUUGGACGUGGUUGUGAGUUUGUUAGUAGAGACGUUGUCUCCCAGCAGGAAGGGCCCGGUCGCACCGGCCGAAUGAUUGGACCCUCCCCCCCCCCAAAUUAAUAAGUUGUCUUAGUAAAGCUUGAGCUCAUAACGUUGAGGUAAAUUUAAUUAUUAUAUCACCUGCUAAAGCUUUUAAUAAAAAUCUGAAUUGUAAUUAAGGCAGAUGUUGUGGACAUUGAAUGUAUCUUUUUUUCUAUGGUAGUAAAAAGUUCAGAAAUUGUACUGCGUAACAUCUUGGAGGUUUUCAUAGGUUGCUUGAGACAAUUCAAUCAACAGAUCCCUUUAAUCCUAGUCACCGGAACUUAUCCUGGCACCAAGGGCCCGGAUCAUUAGAGGAGAGCCGCCGUGAACGGGCGUGGCUGAUCGACGUGGUCGGCUCGAGGGGCUAUUCAGCCGGCUGCACUAUCAGAGCAGACGGGGUAGACGUCGGGAUGAAGGCAGUGAGAAGCGAGGCGCGUCUCCUUGACACCUAAGACCUUUAUCAGGGUAAUACUCUAUAGGACCUCGGAGAGCUGGACCAGUACCUCCUGUACAGGCGUCACUCGGGAUCUGACAGAAGGCUCCGAUAUUAGUCUUGAUGUGAAGUCGAGUCUUGAUGCCAGUGUGACUGGAUGUAAAGAGGAGUCCCAGGAUGUUGAGAUCAAAAUAAUAAAUGUCUUGACACUUAUAUAUUCAGGUGUCUGGUGGCUCAAGGCGGACCGCAGUACCCGGACUGCAGUAACCGGACUACAGUACCCGGACCGCAGCCAACGGCUGACGUCCCAGUAUGGGGCCCAGGAGACCUUCGGGCCCCAGCUGGAGGCUCUUCAAGGACGAGGAGGACGACGACCUGCAUCCAAGACCCAGAGGUUCUGGGUCCAGAGGUUCCCCCCCCUCCAGAAAAUUCCCACAACCCAGCCAACCAGCCUCCCCUGUCGGCCCAUCACAAGGCAGCAUGGUUGGCUUUGGGUGGGACACACCACCUACAGUGUUCCUGCAGACCUCCGCCAACGAGGUCAGACACUUUCACAACUGUGAGCAACCCUCAGCAAGCAAAGGGGCUGCGGGCAGAACUACAUGACCUUUUGAAAGGUGCCAUUAGGGAAGUGGAGUGUGGGAAUCACCAGGCUGCGUUUUACUCCCACUAGUUCUUGGUUCCGGAGCAGGACAGGGCUUUUCGUCCAAUUCUGGACCUCAGGGGAAUCGACAGUCAACUGACUGCAGUAAUAAACAUUUUUUGAUUUUCCUCUGUGCUGAUGGUUUAUUAUAGUCACUAACAAAACCUUAACUCUGAUAAUCAGAUUCUCUUCUUUAAAGUUGUGGCGGUAAACGUCUCAGCGUGUCGGACACUUCCUGAAUAUUAAUUGUCUUUGUGUUUUUAAAAGUCUUGUGCACUCUGAGGUCAGAAUAUAGAAACACAAGGAAAACGUUAAGUCGACAGUCUUAAAGUUUGACAAAUGAUGAAACAGUUUGAGACUGAAACUGAAUGUGAGAAUAAAAACAAAGUGAGCUUC